CCUACGGGAGGCAGCAGUGGGGAAUAUUGCACAAUGGGGGAAACCCUGAUGCAGCGACGCCGCGUGAGUGAAGAAGUAAUUCGUUAUGUAAAGCUCUAUCAGCAGGGAAGCAAAUGACGGUACCUGAGUCAGAAGCCCCGGCUAACUACGUGCCAGCAGCCGCGGUAAUACGUAGGGGGCAAGCGUUAUCCGGAUUUACUGGGUGUAAAGGGAGCGUAGACGGCAGUGCAAGUCUGGAGUGAAAGGCGGGGGCUCAACCCCCGGACUGCUCUGGAAACUGUACGGCUGGAGUGCAGGAGAGGUAAGUGGAAUUGCUAGUGUAGCGGUGAAAUGCGUAGAUAUUAGGAGGAACACCAGUGGCGAAGGCGGCUUACUGGACUGUAACUGACGUUGAGGCUCGAAAGCGUGGGGAGCAAACAGGAUUAGAUACCCCAGUAGUC
rnacentral:rRNA from 1 species